ACGUAGGGGGCAAGCGUUAUCCGAAUUUACUGGGUGUAAAGGGAGCGUAGGCGGCGGAGCAAGUCAGAAGUGAAAGCCCGGGGCUCAACCCCGGGACGGCUUUUGAAACUGCCCUGCUUGAUUUCAGGAGAGGUAAGCGGAAUUCCUAGUGUAGCGGUGAAAUGCGUAGAUAUUAGGAGGAACACCAGUGGCGAAGGCGGCUUACUGGACUGACAAUGACGCUGAGGCUCGAAAGCGUGGGGAGCAAACAG
rnacentral:rRNA from 1 species